rnacentral:rRNA from 1 species
UACGUAGGGUGCGAGCGUUAAUCGGAAUUACUGGGCGUAAAGCGUGCGCAGGCGGUUCGUUAAGUUCGUUGUGAAAGCCCCGGGCUCAACCUGGGAACUGCAAUGGAAACUGGCGGGCUUGAAUGCGGCAGAGGGGGGGUGGAAUUCCGCGUGUAGCGGUGAAAUGCGUAGAGAUCGGAAGGAACAUCAGUGGCGAAGGCGACUACCUGGACUGAUACUGACACUGAGGCGCGAGAGCGUGGGGAGCAAACAGG